AAGUUGAAGAAUUAAUGCAUGAGGAAACUAGGUACGUAGGUGAGAGAAGUAUUGCAUGAGAAAUGAAAAGGAGAGGAGGAGGACACUUAUGCCUGUUGUGUGUGGAUCAAUCACAUGAGAGAUAUAACCAUCCUUAUCAGUUAUGAGUGAUUUCAGGAAUCCUUAUCCUCCUUUUUCUUCACAGCAUAAGUUAAAUAAUAGGGCAUGCGAUUGGUUUUAGCCACCCUAUAAAUAGAAAGAGGUGUUAGUAGAAGGAAAUAAGUGAAAAGAAAAAGAGAGUG
rnacentral:lncRNA from 1 species